ACCUUAAAUUCCAUCGCAGGAUCCUGGCCAUCUUCCCUAGGCCUGCCCCUGCCUCAGUGUCUUCAGGGAGUCCACAAUGGUGUGGAUUGGCCUGAGUCCAUGCAUGCCCAGGAAACAUUUUGCCUGAAGGAUUUUGGAAACUUCCCUGUAAGUUACUUUUAGGAGUGAUUUGCAAAGGAAGACUUAUGAAGGCUCACACCCAAAUUGCUAAGCACCACCAUCUGCUGCCACCCACCCCCCAGUACAGAAGAGCACCCAGAUCCUGGGUUAGUAUAGGAGAUUAUAGGGAACUCAAGCCCUGCUCACACCCGUGCUGACCACCAAGUACACGCAGAUGGAGAGGCAUGCCCUGGAGGAAUCUUCAUCCAGUCACUGAAGUGGUAAGAGCUGUUGACGAGAUGCCACUGUGAGCUCGUGGAUCAGGGUCCAUGUCCUACGGGAGCCCCUCGCUCACCUCCACUCCAGAAGUUGCGAGGGCAGAGAGCCCAUGUUCCAGCAGCUUCCCUUCCUCAUGGAAACAGCCAGCGAACUCGUUCUUUGGCUCCUUUCGAGGCGCUGAACUUUCUGCUCAAGGGAACUCAGGACUUUAUUUAAUCCUGUUUAAUUAAAAUAUCAAACAAGUAUUAGUUAAAAUAUUGUCUAAGAGAGAGGAAUGGGAAGAAGAAAUGUUUCGGUGGGGCAGGAAGGGUGACAGUAUGGCGUGGCUGCCCCUGUGGCAGGUCCCUGGUGCAGAGGCUCUCUCUGGGGCCUGUGCAAACCCUGGGAACCUGAGCCAAGCCCGUGGGAAUUGUGUGGGAUCAAGUCUUUCCUUCUUGGUGAUGUGCUGUGGGCACCUGAGCUUCUGUUAGUUGCCAGCGAGUGGCCGACAAGAAGGGCUGCGACCAUCCUCUGCUGGAAUGCUGCUCCUUGCCAGGUGGCCUGGAAUUACAGAGAGAGCACUUUUCUCCUCCAAAUAUAUCGACCCAUAAGAGACAAAUGCCAGCCAAGCGGGAAGAAAUGGUUCCCAACUCCCACGGCACCCCUGCCCACUACGGAAAACUAGUCAAGAAAGCCGCGUUUUGAUGGUUUUUUUCUUUUUCCCACCACUAACGUGUAAUCUUCAUGCAGCAACUUCAAGUCCCUUCCAGGGAAACGAAAUGCGAUGAACUCAGCCAGCAUGGGUAAGGAUGUGCAUGGCCCAGUGCUGAUGGACUCUACAUGUGCCGGAGCCAGUCCAUGUCACCAGCCUGCUCGUGACGGAUGCGGAGGCCUUCAUCACCAGAAAAGCAGUGUACUGUAUUCAGGUUCACUCCGGCACCAAUGGGCCACCUUACCCUUGAUGUGCUGGCAGUGAGCAUCUGAAACUUGCCUGCCCGGGCAGUGAGACCGAGUUGCUGAGAACGGGCCAGUGUGUUCUCACCCUGUGGACCUCUUCUUCUGUUUGUUCCUGUCUGAAACUAUCAACGCAAGUGGAACCGUACCACAAAAUACUUAACAACACACCAGGCAUGGGCACCAAAGCAGAUCCUACUACUGCGGCAUGUGCUGUGACGCCUGCCCACCCUUGCCCCCAGGAAAUUUCAAAAGGACUCCAUCUGGUGUUUAGCAUCUCUGUGUGUGGCCGGAGUCUCGCUCCUAGGAUUCUGUGUCCUCGGUGGACAGGUUGUGAAAGCCACGUAGGAACUGGCUCAAGAGAAGGUGAAUCAGCAGAUGGCAACUUCCCUUUUUGGUAGAGGUCCUAACGGGCCUCUUCUGCAGGGUUGGGGUGCUGGCCUGCAUCCUGCUGAUGUGUAACAACAAAUUUCUCCC